rnacentral:rRNA from 1 species
GAUGAACGCUGGCGGCGUGCCUAAUACAUGCAAGUCGAGCGAACGGACGAGAAGCUUGCUUCUCUGAUGUUAGCGGCGGACGGGUGAGUAACACGUGGAUAACCUACCUAUAAGACUGGGAUAACUUCGGGAAACCGUAGCUAAUACCGGAUAAUAUUUUGAACCGCAUGGUUCAAAAGUGAAAGACGGUCUUGCUGUCACUUAUAGAUGGAUCCGCGCUGCAUUAGCUAGUUGGUAAGGUAACGGCUUACCAAGGCAACGAUGCAUAGCCGACCUGAGAGGGUGAUCGGCCACACUGGAACUGAGACACGGUCCAGACUCCUACGGGAGGCAGCAGUAGAGAAUCUUCCGCAAUGGGCGAAAGCCUGACGGAGCAACGCCGCGUGAGUGAUGAAGGUCUUCGGAUCGUAAAACUCUGUUAUUAGGGAAGAACAUAUGUGUAAGUAACUGUGCACAUCUUGACGGUACCUAAUCAGAAAGCCACGGCUAACUACGUGCCAGCAGCCGCGGUAAUACGUAGGUGGCAAGCGUUAUCCGGAAUUAUUGGGCGUAAAGCGCGCGUAGCGGUUUUUUAGUCUGAUGUGAAAGCCCACGGCUCAACCGUGGAGGGUCAUUGGAAACUGGAAAACUUGAGUGCAGAAGAGGAAAGUGGAAUUCCAUGUGUAGCGGUGAAAUGCGCAGAGAUAUGGAGGAACACCAGUGGCGAAGGCGACUUUCUGGUCUGUAACUGACGCUGAUGUGCGAAAGCGUGGGGAUCAAACAGGAUUAGAUACCCUGGUAGUCCACGCCGUAAACGAUGAGUGCUAAGUGUUAGGGGGUUUCCGCCCCUUAGUGCUGCAGCUAACGCAUUAAGCACUCCGCCUGGGGAGUACGACCGCAAGGUUGAAACUCAAAGGAAUUGACGGGGACCCGCACAAGCGGUGGAGCAUGUGGUUUAAUUCGAAGCAACGCGAAGAACCUUACCAAAUCUUGACAUCCUUUGACAACUCUAGAGAUAGAGCCUUCCCCUUCGGGGGACAAAGUGACAGGUGGUGCAUGGUUGUCGUCAGCUCGUGUCGUGAGAUGUUGGGUUAAGUCCCGCAACGAGCGCAACCCUUAAGCUUAGUUGCCAUCAUUAAGUUGGGCACUCUAAGUUGACUGCCGGUGACAAACCGGAGGAAGGUGGGGAUGACGUCAAAUCAUCAUGCCCCUUAUGAUUUGGGCUACACACGUGCUACAAUGGACAAUACAAAGGGCAGCGAAACCGCGAGGUCAAGCAAAUCCCAUAAAGUUGUUCUCAGUUCGGAUUGUAGUCUGCAACUCGACUACAUGAAGCUGGAAUCGCUAGUAAUCGUAGAUCAGCAUGCUACGGUGAAUACGUUCCCGGGUCU